UCCGGCGAUUAUAGCCGAGGGGAAACACCUCUUCCCAUUCCGAACAGAGAAGUUAAGCCCUCGAACGCCGAUGGUACUUCGCUUUUAAGCGUGGGAGAGUAGGUAGUUGCCGGGA
rnacentral:rRNA from 1 species